CUGAGCCCGCCACAACCUCUGAAAGAUCGAUUACAUUAAUGUCCUAAAGAAAUUAGUGGUGUUAAAACAAAUUUGCUUUAAUGCGUUAUUCUCGCGUUAACUUUGACAGCCUUAUUUGAUAUACAAACUUAAUUUAAAGUUUGCAUCCCUAAAACAACCUACAUAGUUGUUUUUUUUACAAGCCAGACUGUACAUGCAAGUGAUCUAUCAUGGGAAGCGAUAAAUCCAAACUGUGCAACAGCUGAGAGAGAGAGAGAGAGAGAGAGAGAGUGUUGUGGGUUCAUACCAAGAGACAAGCAACCUAGACAGAGAGACAGGGCCAUAUAGACGGGAUUUGUCGUGCUCUGCUCUGCACACAGAAAAGACAGACAGCUCGGCAGACAGACAGACAGACAGUGACAGACAGGGAGCAGGCGAGUCAAGGGGGUUGGGGGCUGAACGGGCAAAAAUGAGCAAUCUAUCUACUCUACAACAGCUGUUUAACAUCUGCUGUGUGCCAAUCAGAGCCCUGGGAACACGAGUGCUGUAGAGCAGACGAGGAGAAAAUGGGAGAAGAGAAGAAGAAGAAUGCUUGAAGUUGCCUGAUGAGCACGGUGACGUUGAACACUUUGGUGAAUGAGAGGAGAGGAGAAGAGGAGUGAAGUGAAGUGAGGGGGAAUGGGCAGGAGGCCCAGAAAGAUAAAAAAAAAAGUAAGAAAAAGAGAGAUACAGUACAGAGCCAACAAAAAGUUUAAAAGACGACGAAAAGUGUGGGUGAAAAGUAAGCGUCUAAUUCUGUGGACUAAAGAAACAACAGCUG